AGUGUGAGAAGGGUUGAGCAACACCAAGUUAGCUCUUUACCGGAUUUAACCAACCGUUGGGGUCCCUUCAUCCCUAAGAGGAAGACUAAUGUAAAAUAACGUUGGGUUCCCUCUCACUGAGCACUCGCUAGGUGCCAGGUACCUGUUAAUCUCUUUGCAGACAACACUUCCUUCAGAAAACGGGAAACUUCCAUUUGUCACACGUCUUGGUCCAGAUAAAUCCCAGGAAAUAGCAUCGUGAUCUACACUUCUGAUGAGAAUACUGCAGCCCACAGUAGGAAAGUUAUAUUUUUGAAUUCACGACUACCAGUACAGGAUAACAGCCCCUAGAAAUGGAAGCACUAGGCCGAUCCUACCACUGCACUCCAGCCUGGGUGACAGAGCAAGACUCUGUCUCAAAAAAAAAAAAAAAAGAAAAGAAAAAAGAAAAAGAAAUGGAAGCACUAUUCCUUUCUUAGUUUCUCAUCUAAUAGUUUCCUGAGCAGGAAAGUUCCUAGUUCAGAAGAUUAUGAGUAGUAUUCACUGUAAAAAAUGUACAUCAUGUCUAAAUACUAAGCCUCGUACAAAGCUCUCAACAGAUGUUUUUAA
rnacentral:antisense_RNA from 1 species